AGCGAACGCUGGCGGCAGGCCUAACACAUGCAAGUCGAACGAACUCUUCGGAGUUAGUGGCGGACGGGUGAGUAACACGUGGGAACGUGCCUUUUGGUUCGGAAUAACUCAGGGAAACUUGUGCUAAUACCGAAUGUGCCCUUCGGGGGAAAGAUUUAUCGCCAUUAGAGCGGCCCGCGGCUGAUUAGCUAGUUGGUGAGGUAACGGCUCACCAAGGCGACGAUCAGUAGCUGGUCUGAGAGGAUGACCAGCCACACGGGGGCUGAGACACGGCCCAGACUCCGACGGGAGGCAGCAGUGGGGAAUCGUGCGCAAUGGGCGAAAGCCUGACGCAGCCGUGCCGCGUGAAUGAUGAAGGUCUUAGGAUUGUAAAAUUCUUUCACCGGGGACGAUAAUGACGGUACCCGGAGAAGAAGCCCCGGCUAACUUCGUG
rnacentral:rRNA from 1 species